rnacentral:misc_RNA from 1 species
GAUGAAGAACGUAGCGAAAUGCGAUAAGUAAUGCGAAUUGCAGAAUUCAGUGAGUCAUCGAAUCUUUGAACGCACAUUGCGCCCUGUGGUAUUCCGCAGGGCAUGCCUGUUCGAGCGUCAUUUCAACCCUCAAGCUCUGCUUGGUGUUGGGCCCCGCCCGCUCGCGGCCGGCCCUAAAGACAGUGGCGGCAGCGCCUGGCUCCAAGCGUAGUACAGCUCUCGCUCUGGGGCUAGGCGGUAGCCUGCCAGAACCCCCCUUCUAUGGUUGACCUCGGAUCAGGUAGGGAUACCCGCUGAACUUAAGCAUAUCAAUAAGCGGAGGA